rnacentral:misc_RNA from 1 species
CAAAUACUCACCGAGUUGCACCCGUUCGGACACUGGCGAACGCAACUCAAAGAUGGCCGAAAUCCGAAAUCUCGGACUAUCCAAACAUGUCGCGAAUUCCCUGGAAAGACGGCAUUUCUGGAACCCCACGCCGCCAGCAUCGUCUCGAGCUCCAAAUACACCGCCAUCCACUCCCUCUUCGUCUCACCCGCCGCCCAAACAGCCGUGCUGGUACGAUAUAAACGACAGGAAGCACUUAGGUUAUGCCGUUUGGAUCGGCAAGGUUUAUAUCCGGGAUAAGAUGCGCAAGAGCAGCCCGGCCAGGCCAGUCAAGCAGUCAUUCCGUGCCUGGCAGCAACGUGGAUACGACCGGUGCGACAGAGAGAGAAAAGAAAAUAAGGCGGCGGAACGUGCCCUAUUUAUAUCCCGAACCGUCAGUCUGUGCAACGACACAACCAAUGUCACCGGACCGCCUAAUUGAAACAAGAGACAAGCAACAGCAUUUCGCCACAAUCCAGUUGAAGCCGAAAUCUUAGCUCCGAAAUUCAAUCAACCCCAGGCAGAGGCAGGGUCAGACUGUUGGUGGGCGGUCACGUGGGCGGUCACGUGGGCGUGGUUAGUGGGGGUGGUCACGUGGGUCGGCACGUGACUCUAGAAACCACCCCUGACUCCCCGUUUUCGAUUACUCAUCAAUCGCUACCACUGAUGGCUUCUAUGCCAUCGGACUCCUGCUUUUGCCCUAUAUACUCAAUGCAGCUAAGUGAUGAGGGUAAAUAGUGUGAGGUUAUUACAAACUCUAGGAGCUUAUUUGGAGAGUGGAAUACGGGCCGUAAACGGGCUGUUUGACGGCCAGUUUCGGAAGACAAGUGUGGUUGAAAAUGUUGUUGAUCGGUCAGUCUCGUUUGUGCGGUCAUUUUGAGCCUUUUUCUGUGU